rnacentral:rRNA from 1 species
UAACAAGGAUUCCCCUAGUAACUGCGAGUGAAGCGGGAAAAGCUCAAAUUUAAAAUCUGGCGGCCUCCGGUCGUCCGAGUUGUAGUCUGGAGAAGCGUUUUCCGCGUCGGACCGUGUAUAAGUUUCCUGGAACGGAGCGUCAUAGAGGGUGAGAAUCCCGUCUUUGACACGGACUGCCGAUGCUUUGUGAUGCGCUCUCGAAGAGUCGAGUUGUUUGGGAAUGCAGCUCAAAAUGGGUGGUGAAUUCCAUCUAAAGCUAAAUAUUGGCGAGAGACCGAUAGCGAACAAGUACCGUGAGGGAAAGAUGAAAAGCACUUUGGAAAGAGAGUUAAACAGUACGUGAAAUUGUUGAAAGGGAAACGAUUGAAGUCAGUCGCGUCCGCCGGGACUCAGCCUUGCAUUCUUGCUCGGUGUACUUUCCGGUGGACGGGCCAGCAUCAAUUUUGACCGUCGGAAAAGGAUCGGGGAAAUGUGGCACCUUUCGGGGUGUGUUAUAGUCCCCGGUCGCAUACGACGGUCGGGAUUGAGGAACUCAGCAUGCCUUUACGGUCGGGUUCGCCCACGUUCAUGCUUAGGAUGCUGGCGUAA